GAUGAACGCUGGCGGCGUGCUUAACACAUGCAAGUCGAACGGAAAGGCCCAAGCUUGCUUGGGUACUCGAGUGGCGAACGGGUGAGUAACACGUGGGUGAUCUGCCCUGCACUUCGGGAUAAGCCUGGGAAACUGGGUCUAAUACCGGAUAGGACCACAUUUUGGAUGGUGUGGUGGAAAGUUUUUCGGUGUGGGAUGAGCUCGCGGCCUAUCAGCUUGUUGGUGGGGUAAUGGCCUACCAAGGCGUCGACGGGUAGCCGGCCUGAGAGGGUGUACGGCCACAUUGGGACUGAGAUACGGCCCGGACUCCUACGGGGGGCAGCAGUGGGGAAUAUUGCACAAUGGGCGCAAGCCUGAUGCAGCGACGCCGCGUGGGGGAUGACGGCCUUCGGGUUGUAAACUCCUUUCGCUAGGGACGAAGCGUUUUUGUGACGGUACCUGGAGAAGAAGCACCGGCUAACUACGUG
rnacentral:rRNA from 1 species